AAUCUUUGGUUGUUGGGUGGAUUAGUGGCGAACGGGUGAGUAAUACGUGGGUAACCUGCCCUCCUUUUUGGGAUAAGCCUUGGAAACGGGGUCUAAUACCGAAUAUUCUGGCGCUCUCGCAUGGGGGUGUUGGGAAAGCUUUUGUGUGAAGGGGGAUGGGCUCGCGGCCUAUCAGCUUGUUGGUGGGGUGAUGGCCUACCAAGGCGGUGACGGGUAGCCGGCCUGAGAGGGUGACCGGCCACAUUGGGACUGAGAUACGGCCCAGACUCCUACGGGAGGCAGCAGUGGGGGAUAUUGCACAAUGGGCGAAAGCCUGAUGCAGCGACGCCGCGUGGGGGAUGAAGGCUUUCGGGUUGUAAACCUCUUUCGCUAUCGAACAAGGCCCGCUUAGGGUGGGUUGAGGGUAGG
rnacentral:rRNA from 1 species